rnacentral:rRNA from 1 species
AGUCGAGCGGUAAGAGAGCUUGCUUCUCUUGAGAGCGGCGGACGGGUGAGUAAUGCCUAGGAAUCUGCCUGGUAGUGGGGGAUAACGUCCGGAAACGGACGCUAAUACCGCAUACGUCCUACGGGAGAAAGCAGGGGACCUUCGGGCCUUGCGCUAUCAGAUGAGCCUAGGUCGGAUUAGCUAGUUGGUGGGGUAAUGGCUCACCAAGGCGACGAUCCGUAACUGGUCUGAGAGGAUGAUCAGUCACACUGGAACUGAGACACGGUCCAGACUCCUACGGGAGGCAGCAGUGGGGAAUAUUGGACAAUGGGCGAAAGCCUGAUCCAGCCAUGCCGCGUGUGUGAAGAAGGUCUUCGGAUUGUAAAGCACUUUAAGUUGGGAGGAAGGGCAGUAAAUUAAUACUUUGCUGUUUUGACGUUACCGACAGAAUAAGCACCGGCUAACUCUGUGCCAGCAGCCGCGGUAAUACAGAGGGUGCAAGCGUUAAUCGGAAUUACUGGGCGUAAAGCGCGCGUAGGUGGUUCGUUAAGUUGGAUGUGAAAUCCCCGGGCUCAACCUGGGAACUGCAUUCAAAACUGACGAGCUAGAGUAUGGUAGAGGGUGGUGGAAUUUCCUGUGUAGCGGUGAAAUGCGUAGAUAUAGGAAGGAACACCAGUGGCGAAGGCGACCACCUGGACUGAUACUGACACUGAGGUGCGAAAGCGUGGNGAGCAAACAGGAUUAGAUACCCUGGUAGUCCACGCCGUAAACGAUGUCAACUAGCCGUUGGGAGCCUUGAGCUCUUAGUGGCGCAGCUAACGCAUUAAGUUGACCGCCUGGGGAGUACGGCCGCCAGGUUAAAACUCAAAUGAAUUGACGGG